GGGAAUGUUGCUCAGUGGUAGAGCACUUGCCUAGUGUGCGUGAGACUCUGGGUUCAGUUCCCAGCAUUGCAA
rnacentral:tRNA from 1 species